UAAAGAAAAUAAAAAAGGAAAAGUAUGCUGGAAGAAGUAAGGAAAAGUUCUUUAAAGCCGAUAUGUAAGAGAUUACUUGAUAUUUUACACUUCUUCUUUCGCUGUUACUUCGUUCCUCCUUAGAAGAAGGACUCGGACAACAUGUUUUCCUGGAACCAUCGCUAACCCCAGUUUCCUUGAUAUUACGUCUUCUGG
rnacentral:rRNA from 1 species